rnacentral:tRNA from 1 species
GGCUUUAUAGUAGAAAAGUACGUCAGAUUGCAAACCUGAAAAUGCAAAUAUUGCUAAAGCUU